rnacentral:rRNA from 1 species
UUCCGGUUGAUCCUGCCGGACCUGACUGCUAUCGGAUUGAUACUAAGCCAUGCGAGUCAUUGUAGUAAUACAAGGCAGACGGCUCAGUAACGCGUAGUCAACCUACCCUAUGGACGGGGAUAACCUCGGGAAACUGAGAAUAAUACCCGAUAGAACAUUAUGCCUGGAAUGGUUUAUGUUUCAAAUAAUUUAUUGCCGUAGGAUGGGACUGCGGCCUAUCAGUUUGUUGGUGAGGUAAUGGCCCACCAAGACUAUUACAGGUACGGGCUCUGAGAGGAGUAGCCCAGAGAUGGGUACUGAGACACGGACCCAGGCCCUAUGGGGCGCAGCAGGCGAGAAAACUUUGCAAUGUGCGAAAGCACGACAAGGUUAAUCCGAGUGGUUUCUGCUAAAGGAACCUUUUGUCAGUCCUAGAAACACUGAUGAAUAAGGGGUGGGCAAGUUCUGGUGUCAGCCGCCGCGGUAAAACCAGCACCUCAAGUGGUCAGGAUGAUUAUUGGGCCUAAAGCAUCCGUAGCCUGCUUUGUAAGUUUUCGGUUAAAUCCAUACGCUCAACGUAUGGGCUGCCGGGAAUACUGCAAAGCUAGGGAGUGGGAGAGGUAGACGGUACUCGGUAGGAAGGGGUAAAAUCCUUUGAUCUAUUGAUGACCACCUGUGGCGAAGGCGGUCUACCAGAACACGUCCGACGGUGAGGGAUGAAAGCUGGGGGAGCAAACCGGAUUAGAUACCCGGGUAGUCCCAGCUGUAAACUAUGCAAACUCAGUGAUGCAUUGGCUUGAUGCCAAUGCAGUGCUGCAGGGAAGCCGUUAAGUUUGCCGCCUGGGAAGUACGUACGCAAGUAUGAAACUUAAAGGAAUUGGCGGGGGAGCACCACAAGGGGUGAAGCCUGCGGUUCAAUUGGAGUCAACGCCGGAA